rfam:Schistosoma mansoni, Puerto Rico, WGS project CABG01000000 data, contig: 0171
AUGCUGACGAGUCCCAAAUAGGACGAAACGCGCGUCCUGGAU